UACGUAGGGGGCAAGCGUUGCCCGGAAUUAUUGGGCGUAAAGAGCGUGUAGGCGGUCCGGUAAGUCGGCUGUGAAAGUCCAGGGCUCAACCCUGGGAUGCCGGUCGAUACUGCCGGACUAGAGUUCGGAAGAGGCGAGUGGAAUUCCCGGUGUAGCGGUGAAAUGCGCAGAUAUCGGGAGGAACACCUAUGGCGAAGGCAGCUCGCUGGGACGGUACUGACGCUGAGACGCGAAAGCGUGGGGAGCGAACAGG
rnacentral:rRNA from 1 species